CGUAGGUAACCUGCCUGGUAGCGGGGGGUAACUAUUGGAAACGAUAGCUAAUACCGCAUAACAGUCGACAUUGCAUGAUGUUGAUUUGAAAGGGGCAAUUGCUCCACUACCAGAUGGACCUGCGUUGUAUUAGCUAGUUGGUGAGGUAACGGCUCACCAAGGCGACGAUACAUGGCCGACCUGAGAGGGUGAUCGGCCACACUGGGACUGAGACACGGCCCAG
rnacentral:rRNA from 1 species